rnacentral:misc_RNA from 1 species
GAUGAAGAACGUAGCGAAAUGCGAUACGUAAUGUGAAUUGCAGAAUUCAGUGAAUCAUCGAAUCUUUGAACGCAUAUUGCGCUCUCUGGUAUUCCGGAGAGCAUGCUUGUUUGAGUAUCAGUAAACACCUCAACUCCCUUUUCUUUUUUGAAAUUGGAGCUGGACUUGAGUGAUCCCAACGCUUUCUUCCAAGAAAGUGGCGGGUUGCUUGAAAUGCAGGUGCAGCUGAACUUUUCUCUGAGCUAUAAGCAUAUCUAUUUAGUCUGCCUAAAAAACAGAUUAUUACCUUUGCUGCAGCUAACAUAAAGGAGACUAGUUCUUGUGCUGACUGAUGCAGGAUUCACAGAGACAGCUUCGGCUGACUUUGUAAACUCGAUCUCAAUCAAGUAAGACUACCCGCUGAACUUAAGCAUAUCAAUAAGCGGAGGA